CCUACGGGGGGCAGCAGUGGGGAAUAUUGGGCAAUGGAGGCAACUCUGACCCAGCAACGCCGCGUGAAUGAUGAAGGUCUUCGGAUUGUAAAGUUCUGUGAUGGGGGAUGAAAACAAUGACGGUACCCCAAUAGCAAGCCACGGCUAACUACGUGCCAGCAGCCGCGGUAAUACGUAGGGGGCAAGCGUUAUCCGGAAUGACUGGGCGUAAAGGGUGCGUAGGUGGUUUAGUAAGUUGGCGGUGUAAUUCCGGGGCUCAACCUCGGCGCUACCGCCAAAACUAUUAGACUAGAGUGCAGGGGAGGUAAGUGGAAUUCGUGGUGUAGCGGUGGAAUGCGUAGAUAUUAGGAAGAACAUCGGGGGCGAAGGCGACUUACGGGACUGUAACUGACGCUGAGGCACGAAAGCGUGGGGAGCAAACAGGAUUAGAUACCCUAGUAGUC
rnacentral:rRNA from 1 species